UACGGAGGAUGCAAGCGUUAUCCGGAAUGAUUGGGCGUAAAGCGUCCGCAGGUGGCUAUGUAAGUCUGCUGUUAAAGAGUGAGGCUCAACCUCAUAAGAGCAGUGGAAACUACAUGGCUAGAGUGCGUUCGGGGCAGAGGGAAUUCCUGGUGUAGCGAUGAAAUGCGUAGAGAUCAGGAAGAACACCGGUGGCGAAAGCGCUCUGCUAGGCCGCAACUGACACUCAUGGACGAAAGCUAGGGGAGCGAAUGGG
rnacentral:rRNA from 1 species